rnacentral:rRNA from 1 species
UACGUAGGGCGCAAGCGUUGUCCGGAAUUAUUGGGCGUAAAGAGCGUGUAGGCGGCCAGGUAGGUCGGUUGUGAAAACUGGAGGCUCAACCUUCAGAGGUCGACCGAAACCAUCUGGCUAGAGUCCGGGAGAGGAGAGUGGAAUUCCUGGUGUAGCGGUGAAAUGCGCAGAUAUCAGGAAGAACACCGGUGGCGAAGGCGGGUCUCUGGGCCGAUACUGACGCUGAGGAGCGAAAGCGUGGGGAGCGAACAGG